CCAAUAGCGUAUAUUAAAGUUGCUGCAGUUAAAAAGCUCGUAGUUGAAUUUCGGGACCAUCAUGUCGGUCGUGCCUCGGUACGUACUGGUAUUGUUGGUUUCUCCCUUCUGACGAACCAUGAUGUCAUUUAUUUGGUGUUUUGGGUAAUCAGGACUGUUACUUUGAAAAAAUUAGAGUGUUUUAAGCAGGCUCACGCUUGAAUACAUUAGCAUGGAAUAAUAAAAUAGGACGUUUGAUUCUAUUUUGUUGGUUUCUAGGAUCGACGUAAUGAUUAAUAGGGAUAGUUGGGGGCAUUAGUAUUCAAUUGUCAGAGGUGAAAUUCUUGGAUUUAUUGAAGACUAACUACUGCGAAAGCAUUUGCCAAGGAUGUUUUCAUUAAUCAAGAACGAAAGUUAGGGGAUCGAAGACGAUCAGAUACCGUCGUAGUCUUAACCAUAAACUAUGCCGACUAGGGAUCGGAUGAUGUUAAUUUUUUAAUGACUCAUUCGGCGCCUUACG
rnacentral:rRNA from 1 species